ensembl:lncRNA
AGCUUAGAACAAAAGUAUGUCUUAGAGAAACACUGAACCUCUGUCCAAAAUGUCCUAAUAUGCUUUUGGACCCUUGGUUUGAGAUGGAACUCAGUCUGCAAAGGUCUUGGUCUCCGGUUGUGCAGAUGUUCUCUGAGGGCAACUCACACUGAACGAGUGACGUCGGACACAUCUUUGUCCAGGUGGUGGCCUCUGCUGGGAGUGCCUUUCCCCUCCUCUGUGGCCUGGUCGUUUGUGGGUCUGGAUGUCAUGUUCCUGGUCCCUCCUGGAGGAACCACAGUCCCCAUCUUCAUGCUGAGGUGCAAAGCUGGACAUCUGCCAGCUUCAACCCAGGAGAAGAAGCAGCGACAGAGUGACCUUAAAUGACUGCUCUCGGCCUCAACUUGUACAAGGCAUGAGAAAGUUCCCGACACAGGGAUCAAACCCUCACCACAGCAGUGACAACACUGGAUCCUUAACCUGCUGAGCCACCAAGGAACUCCUCUGACAACUUUCUUUUCCCAACUUGCAGAUUGUUUAAAAAAUGUAUAUCUGUAUGCUUUUAAAAGUUAAAUCCUUGAUUUUAGUGUAAUUAAUAUUAUCAGUCUUUCCUGUAGCUUCUGCUUUUUUGUUUGGGUGUGGCUGUCUUGUGCGGAAGUUCCUGGGCUAGGGAUCAAAUCUGUGCCACAGCAGCAACCUAGGUGCUACAGUGACAAAGCCACAUCCUUAACAUGCUGUGCCACAAGGGAACUCCUAGUUUGUGGUUUUUAAAAAGAAACAGUGUUAAAAUAUACAUAACACAGGGAGUUCCUGCUGUGGUGUAGUGGGUUAAGGAUCCAGUGCUGUUGCAGCUGUGGCAUAGGUUGUAGUGGCAGCUCGGAUCCAGUCCCUGGCCCAGGAACUUCCAUAUGCCACGGGUACAGCUGAAAACAGAAAAAGAUAUAUACAUAACACAAAAUUUACUAUUUUGAAGUGGACAGUUCAGUGACAUUCACAUUGGUGUGUAACCAUCACCACUAUCAAUCCCCCUAGAUGUUUCCGCUUUUUCUUAAUGUCUUGUUUAAGAAAUCCUUUGCUACAUCAAGACUAUCUAUAUAUUUUUCCUAAAUUCUUCGUUUUGCUAUUCACAUUUAGGUCAUUAAAUCAUCUGGAAUUGAACUUUGUGUGUAGGGGGAGGUAGGAAAAACAAUCCCCUGCCAAUAGCAAUUGUCCCAGCCCCUAUUAGAACUGUCCAUCUUUUAUCCCUUGGUUUGUACUGUGGACCUGUCACUUGCCAUGUGUCUUCAUAGGUGUGGGCUCAUUUCUGAGUACUCUGUUCCAGUGGUUGAUUUGUCUAUUUCUGUGCCAAGAUUAUGUUGUCUUAAAUUUUAUGGAGUUAUGAUAAGCCUUCCAUCUGCCUGAAAUGCUGCUCUCCUAACGAUACACAUGAGUAAAGCCCUAAUUUUCUUCUGGUGUCUGCUUCAUGGUCACAUUCUCAGCCAGCCUUCCCUGGCUGCCCUUUCUAAAAUUUCAAUGCCUCCUCCAAAAAUUCAACAUCCUCUCCUCUGCUUUAUUUUUCAGCUUAGCAGUUCUUAUUUAACAGAGUAAUGUUACACUUCUAUUAUUUGUUUUCUCUCUUUCCCUCUAGAAUAUAAGCUUUAUGAAGACAAGAUUUCUUUUUCAUCCCUCUUGUAUCCCCAGCAUUGAAAACUUUGCCUGGCACUUAGCAGGUGCUGUAAGUAUUUCUGGAACAGGUCAUAUAAUGUUGCUAUAUGGAAGGGUAACCCUCCCUCUCUGUUCUUUUCUGAGUCCUUAACCCACUAUGCGGGACCAGGGCUCGCACCUGCAUCCCAGAGUUCCAGAGGCACUGCUGCUCCUGUUGCGCCACAGCAGGAACUCUUUUAUACUUGAUUUUAAGAUGUGCUUUUUCUCUACUUCUCUCUCUCUUUUUUUUUUUUUUUUUUUUUUUGUCUUUUGUCCUUUUAGGGCCGCACCUACGGCAUAUGGAGGUGCCCAGGCUAGGGGUCUAACUGGAGCUGUUGUUGCCCACCUAUGCCACCGCCACAGCAACGCCAGAUCCAAGUCACGUCUGCAACCUACUCUAUAGCUCAUGGCAACGCCGGAUCCUUAACCCACUGAGUGAGGCCAGGGAUCGAACCCGAAACCUCGUGGUCCCUAGUUGGAUUCGUUUCUGCUGCACCAUGAUGGGAACUCCAUACUUCUCUCGCUUCUUGAUGCUGGACUAAUUAAAGCAAUCUGAAACGAAGUGAGAAAGGAUGAGGUUUUCGGUUCCUUCCCAGAGGUGGGCAGUGGAAUGGAAAGUGCUGGAUUGACACAAUGCUGAACUCUGGCAACCAAGAUGCAUAUACACUACAGGCCCGACCUCCCACCAAGGGGCUAUUUAAAUGUGCAUUAGCUUUUCCAGGUCAGCCAUCCUGCUGAAAAGCCUCUUGUCCCUCUGCUUUCCAUGGCAAAUGCAGCUGGCAGGACCCAAGCUUAUAGUGUCCUCUCCGGGUGAAGAAACCUGCCACACCUUUGGUUUUUAAGGUGACACACCCCGCUCCGGGAAGGAAUGAACACUUGCUUUGAUUCACCAAGCAUGGCGACUAAAAUCUCUGCUGCGAGUGUGACAUGCGACAGGACAGGACUCCUGGAGCUGGAGUCAUCCAAGGGUGACAGCUGUGGGACAGCCUGUCGGCAGCUGGGUAGUGCCCAGGGCAGGCCCCGAGUUGAGCAGUGGUGAUUCAUGGAAAUUCCAUCAGAGACAGCACUCUGUGCUUUGUUCCAGGCUAAACUGGGGAGCCAAGUCACUUUGGAAGGAAUGUGUACAAAGUUUUCAUAUGAGGACCUGACGUUUUAUAGGGUGGAAUCACAUUUGAUUCAAACCAUCUGUUGAACAUCAAGUUGAGCCUUUCCCUUUUUCAUAGAUCCCUCGUGUUCGACAUCAGCUCAGUGUAAUAAAUCUUUGCUGAGGGCCAGGCACCAGGGUUAUAGAGCCGAAUGAUACAGUGGUCCCUGUUUCGGAGAUGAUUCUGGUCAAGUGGAAGUAAAAGUUAUACAUUUAUGUGUAUUUUCCCUUCCCUGGUUGUGAGGCUGGGGUUGUGGUUUAUGUGCAUCACAGUUGCCAGAGCUGAGCAUUGGGCCAAUCAUUUUGUUGAUGAAAUAAGCACACGAAGAACUCUCAGUGGUUUGCCAAGUACUUAACUGAGAUGUAUAACAUCGUGGGUCACUGAUACCAUGUUACAUAGAUUCCUGUUGCAGUUGCCGAAAACACUGUUUGCGGUGAGAUAGUGACCACAACUGUGGCUGGAGAAAAAAUGAAGACGCUAAAAUUGUUGGAAUAGACACAGGCUGUUUUGUACUCCGAAGGUUAAAGUAGGUUCUUUAACACGAUGAAAAGGCAGCUCUUAUGUGACAUGUUUAGUAAGCCAUUGGUAAUGCUAAACGUGAGCAUAUUUUCCCAAUUGUCUCUGAAAUGGUCCUAAAAGGAUAUUAAUUAUCUCAUCUUUCAAUUUGGAAGAUGCUAUGGUCAGCACUUUAGGGAUCAUAAAAAUAAGACAGAGGCCCGUCCAAAGAGAGCUUAAAAUCUGGUAGUGCUCCAUAACCAGCUGCACACGUGUUCCCAAAGCUUUUGAAAGAGUGAACAACGUUGGCGUGUAGGUGCACUUUUCUGAGGAGUGCGUUCAUGCAAUCAUCCAACGACUCAUGUUCCCCAAAGAUGAAGACCCUCGGUAGUAGGAGACAGCGGGAGACGGAGGUACUGGGGUGUCACACCAGGAGCAAGCCUGGUGGCAUACGCAGAGGCUCAGCAGGAUGGAGGAAGGUGGCAUCUGACUUCUGAAUUCCUGAAGGGCAGGCAGGGUUCCAGCAGGAGAGAGGGUUCGGCUUCUUGAAGUGGGGAGAUCACCACGGGAGAGACACAAGGUAGGGAGUGCAAGGCUGCUUUGGGGAAGAGCUGGCAGUUCAGACCAUAAGCUGGGGUGCAGCUCUAGGCAAUAAAGUAAUCAAGUCUUGGGGCCAUGCUGUGGGAAGCCUUCAAAUGUUUCUUGAAUUGGGAGUUCUCAUCAUGGGUCAGGGGAAACCAAUCAGACUAGUAUCCAUGAGGAUGUGGGUUGGAUCUCUGGCCUCACUCAGUAGGUUAAAGAUCUGACAUUGCCGUGAGCUGUGGCGAAGUUCACAGACACAGCUGAGAGCCUGCAUUGCUGUGGCUAUGGCCUAGGCUGGCAGUUGUAGCUACGAUUUGACCCCUAGCCUGGGAACUUCCAUAUGCCAUAGGUGUGGCCCUAAGAAGAAAAAAAAAGUUUCUUGAAUUGAAAUUAAUAUAGAAUUUUCUGUAAAAUUAAAUUAGAACUUUAAAAAUACUAUCAGGAGUUCCCUGGUGGCUCAGUGGUUUAAGGAUCCAGCAUUGCCACUGUUGUGCUUCAGGUCACUGCUGUGGCACAGGUUUGAUCCCUGGCCCCCAAACUUCUGUAUGCUGCAGCCGAGGCAAAAAAAAAAAAA